ACUCCUGCGGGAGGCAGCAGUGGGGAAUUUUGGACAAUGGGCGAAAGCCUGAUCCAGCAAUGCCGCGUGUGUGAAGAAGGCCUUCGGGUUGUAAAGCACUUUUGUCCGGAAAGAAAUCCUUGGCUCUAAUACAGUCGGGGGAUGACGGUACCGGAAGAAUAAGCACCGGCUAACUACGUGCCAGCAGCCGCGGUAAUACGUAGGGUGCGAGCGUUAAUCGGAAUUACUGGGCGUAAAGCGUGCGCAGGCGGUUUGCUAAGACCGAUGUGAAAUCCCCGGGCUCAACCUGGGAACUGCAUUGGUGACUGGCAGGCUAGAGUAUGGCAGAGGGGGGUAGAAUUCCACGUGUAGCAGUGAAAUGCGUAGAGAUGUGGAGGAAUACCGAUGGCGAAGGCAGCCCCCUGGGCCAAUACUGACGCUCAUGCACGAAAGCGUGGGGAGCAAACAGGAUUAGAUACCCCGGUAGUCCCAUGA
rnacentral:rRNA from 1 species